AUUUAGCUAUGUUUUGAAAGUUUAAGUGUAGUCCUGAGGCCAAGACAGCACAGUGGAGAGAGUUGUGCAUCUGAGGUACCUCAUAAAUGCCAGGAGAAAUGCCUUAGGAGUCUACAAGGAAACCCCCUUGUAAUAAGGGAAUUGGGUCAUGAAACUAGCAAGGCUGUAGAUCCAGACCUGCAGCUGGAUAAACUAUGACCUGAGGAUUUGAAGCAUCUUAUGAAAUUCAAGGAGAUCCAGAAAGACAGAGGAAGGAAGGGUCCAUCUUGAGCAGGUUGUUCCUCAUCUCUGUCAAAUGGCUGGUUUUCUGUAGCUUCUGGCAAUUUUGAAAAACUGAGCUACAAAUGUGUCUGUUGUCGGCAGGACCGCCAUUUGGACUUGGUGCAUGGGCUCUGCUGCAGCUUUUCUCUGUAACAGUCUAAGUGAUGUGGAGUUCAGUCUAGCAAGGGCCCCUUCCUGUCAUAAAUAAGAUUACUUUCAUUUCACUUGUGGAGUGUGCUAUUCCUCAGAGUAAUGAAUUUCCUCUGUGCCUUUGAGCACAUAAACAUGGUUUUCAUUAGCUUUCGCUCUUAAAGAAAAAAAAAAAGCAAGCGACAGGGAAGGAGAGAAUCUGAGCAAAAUUAAUAGAGGCCAAUUAACUCCAUAAAUGCAGAUGGAUUUUUUUUUAUACUCUGGGUGGAAUAUACUUGUGACAUUAAUAGAAAGGCACUAGUUCAUCUCUCCUCUGAAGUUAUUAAAAAAAAAAUUGGGUCAAAGAAGGACUACCAAUUUUAUCCCAUGUGAACCAAAGGGAGAGAGAAUAUUCUUUUCCAAGUCUUGUUUUAAAGAUGAUAUCAAAUAGUCAUCAGAGUGCUCCCCCCGCCAGACAAAUAGCCGUGGGUUCUCCUGGAACAGCUACAUGAAAAGUCUCAGUGCAGCCGUGCAGCCUCAACCCCAUCUCCCAUUCCUUUGCUGUGUGUGUGUGUGUGGGGGGGUGUGAUUUAUGCUAAUAAGAUAUCCUAGCCUUUCUCAAUUUCAAAUUAACCCCCUGAGACCUAUAAGUCAUGCAGUUCAUAGUACUAAAUAUGCAGUUGUUCAAUUUUGUGGUUUGGAAUCUCUUGUCAAGGGGUGACUCAUUAUAAAAAUGACUGGAUUUUUCUCGUUGUUGACAAUGCAUACUUAAACCUGAAAGCUACUUAGGAUA